rnacentral:rRNA from 3 species
UACGUAGGGUGCGAGCGUUAAUCGGAAUUACUGGGCGUAAAGCGUGCGCAGGCGGUCUCGUAAGCUGGGUGUGAAAGCCCCGGGCUUAACCUGGGAAUGGCAUUCAGGACUGCGAGGCUCGAGUGUGGCAGAGGGAGGUGGAAUUCCACGUGUAGCAGUGAAAUGCGUAGAGAUGUGGAGGAACACCGAUGGCGAAGGCAGCCUCCUGGGCCAGCACUGACGCUCAUGCACGAAAGCGUGGGGAGCAAACAGG